GGAGUUAGCCGGUGCUUCUUCUGCGAGUAACGUCACAGAUGUAAGGUAUUAACUUACACCCUUUCCUCCUCGCUGAAAGUGCUUUACAACCCGAAGGCCUUCUUCACACACGCGGCAUGGCUGCAUCAGGGUUUCCCCCAUUGUGCAAUAUUCCCCACUGCUGCCUCCCGUAGGAGUCUGGGCCGUGUCUCAGUCCCAGUGUGGCUGAUCAUCCUCUCAGACCAGCUAGGGAUCGUCGCCUAGGUGAGCCUUUACCUCACCUACUAGCUAAUCCCACCUGGGCUUAUCCAUCAGCGCAAGGCCCGAAGGUCCCCUGCUUUACCCCGUAGGGCGUAUGCGGUAUUAGCAGUCGUUUCCAACUGUUAUCCCCCACAAAUGGGCAAAUUCCCAGGCAUUACUCACCCGUCCGCCGCUCGUCAUCUUCAAAAGCAAGCUUUUGAAAUGUUACCGCUCGACUUGCAUGUGUUAGGCCUGCCGCCAGCGUUCAAUCUGAGCCAUAAUCAAACUCUGA
rnacentral:rRNA from 1 species